AAGCUCCUAUGUUGUGUUAAGUGUUGGCAGAUAUCCGGAACCCUUCCGAGGGGGCUGGACUUAGACCCCGAACUUCCCCUCCCCACAUGAAGUCCGGGGUUUUUUUUGCCCGCGA
rnacentral:sRNA from 1 species